UACAGAGGGUGCGAGCGUUGUUCGGAAUUAUUGGGCGUAAAGGGCGCGUAGGCGGUGCGGUAAGUCACCUGUGAAAUCUCCUGGCUCAACUGGGAGCUUGCAGGCGAAACUGCCGUGCUGGAGUGUGGGAGAGGUGCGUGGAAUUCCCGGUGUAGCGGUGAAAUGCGUAGAUAUCAGGAGGAACACCGAUAGCGAAGGCAGCUCGCUGGGACGGUACUGACGCUGAGGUGCGAAAGCGUGGGGAGCGAACAGG
rnacentral:rRNA from 1 species